UACGUAGGGGGCAAGCGUUGUCCGGAUUUAUUGGGCGUAAAGAGCGUGUAGGCGGCCAGACAGGUCCGUUGUGAAAACUAGAGGCUUAACCUCUAGACGUCGAUGGAAACCGUCUGGCUAGAGUCCGGAAGAGGAGAAUGGAAUUCCUGGUGUAGCGGUGGAAAUGCGCAGAUAUCAGGAAGAACACCCGUGGCUAAGGCGGUUCUCUAGUACGGUACUGACGCUGAGACGCGAAAGCGUGGGGAGCGAACAGG
rnacentral:rRNA from 1 species